rnacentral:rRNA from 1 species
AACGCUGGCGGCGUGCUUAACACAUGCAAGUCGAACGGUGAAGGCGGAGCUUGCUCUGCUGGAUCAGUGGCGAACGGGUGAGUAACACGUGAGCAAUCUGCCCCUGACUCUGGGAUAAGCGCUGGAAACGGCGUCUAAUACUGGAUACGAGCUGCGAAGGCAUCUUCAGCAGCUGGAAAGAAUUUCGGUCAGGGAUGAGCUCGCGGCCUAUCAGCUUGUUGGUGAGGUAAUGGCUCACCAAGGCGUCGACGGGUAGCCGGCCUGAGAGGGCGACCGGCCACACUGGGACUGAGACACGGCCCAGACUCCUACGGGAGGCAGCAGUGGGGAAUAUUGCACAAUGGGCGAAAGCCUGAUGCAGCAACGCCGCGUGAGGGACGACGGCCUUCGGGUUGUAAACCUCUUUUAGCAGGGAAGAAGCGAAAGUGACGGUACCUGCAGAAAAAGCGCCGGCUAACUACGUGCCAGCAGCCGCGGUAAUACGUAGGGCGCAAGCGUUAUCCGGAAUUAUUGGGCGUAAAGAGCUCGUAGGCGGUUUGUCGCGUCUGCUGUGAAACCCCGAGGCUCAACCUCGGGCCUGCAGUGGGUACGGGCAGACUAAAGUGCGGUAGAGGAGAUUGGGAAUUCCUGGUGUUACGGUGGAAUGCGCAAAUUUCAGGAGGAACACCGAUGGCGAAAGCAGAUCUCUGGGGCCGUAACUGACC